AUUGAACGCUGGCGGCAUGCCUUACACAUGCAAGUCGAACGGCAGCACGGGUGCUUGCACCUGGUGGCGAGCGGCGAACGGGUGAGUAAUAUAUCGGAACGUACCUUAUUGUGGGGGAUAACGCAGCGAAAGCUGUGCUAAUACCGCAUAAUCCCUAAGGGGGAAAGCGGGGGACCGUAAGGCCUCGCGCAAUUAGAGCGGCCGAUACCUGAUUAGCUAGUUGGUGAGGUAAAGGCUCACCAAGGCAACGAUCAGUAGCUGGUCUGAGAGGACGAUCAGCCACACUGGGACUGAGGCACGGCCCAGACUCCUACGGAAGGCAGCAGUGGGGAAUUUUGGACAAUGGGGGCAACCCUGAUCCAGCAAUGCCGCGUGAGUGAAGAAGGCCUUCGGGUUGUAAAGCUCUUUUGUCAGGGAAGAAACAGCAGCUCUAACACAGUUUGCGAAUGACGGUACCUGAAGAAUAAGCACCGGCUAACUACGUGCCAGCCGCCGCCGUAA
rnacentral:rRNA from 1 species